AUGGAAUCACAGAAAACUCAACAUGAGCCAUCACCGGCUGCUUGCAAACCCAGCCGCCACUUCAUGUCGAAAGAAGAAGAACGAACAAGCCACUUUCUUGGAGGAUUGGAAGGAUCAUAUUGAUGAUUUUGUAAAUGCAUCUAUGGAUGAACACAAAACUUGCUUCAAGAAGACCAUGAACAAGAUGUUUGGAUUGUCAAAGAUCGUCUCUGAGAGGAGCGCUGACACCAAGGAAGUUGAGAGUACUCUGCCCCUUCAAACCACAGUGGCAAAAUAGGACAUCUUCUCUUGCGUUUUAUAGGCAUAUAUCUUGAGAACCAAACUUUGCUCCUGGCCUUAACCAAUUAGAUUCUUGUGAUGUGUAAUUUGUUAAAAUUGUGGUACUGCACUUUCAUUUUGACCAGUACGAAAACUUGAGUUUGUAGGUUAAGUGGCGACUAUUAUAAACUCGA